rnacentral:lncRNA from 1 species
UCCAUAUAUCUUCUUCUUCUUCUUCUUCUUUAACCCUAGCUAAGCUAACUCCUUCCUUCCUUCCUUCUUCCUUAAUUGCUUCGAUCUGUAACAAUAACACUACUAUCACGCCAAAUUAAAGCAUGAAAAAUUUUAAGCUUUAUGUUGUUGUACUUGUGAUACUCUUUUUUGUUACCCUUCUAAUUUUCUUUCCUUCUCUUUCUGCAAC